UCUUUCUUUCUUUAGGGCCCGAGCGUAGCUGCUAAGCAGCUGCGAGAGCCCUCUUGUUCCUGCAUGUUUCCUUCUUUUGUUAUUAGGGCCCGAGCGUAGCUGCUAAGCAGCUGCGAGAGCCCUCUUGUUCCUGUAGUUUCCUUCUUUUGUUAUUAUUAUUAUUAUUAUUUUUCCUCCCCUUUGAACUGGAAAAUGGCCCACUUCCCACUGGCGAAAACUCAUGAAAUUUGGCAGGACGACCGGGCCUGGUGAAAAAUUUGAUAUUCCGAAGUCGCCCAAACAAGAAAAUGCAAAAUGGCUCCAUAGCGCCCCCUAAGGUGAAAAUUCACACUAUUCACUGUCACGCCGGUACGCUUUGUCAAAAUGACACAAAAAUUGACACACACAUGUAUCUCAAUAAGAUCUACAAAAAAGUCAGUGCGGGCGUAUCUGUCAAAUGUACGGUUAAAGGGUUAUUUCGCAUUUUUUGCCGAUCCGCACACAUUGGAAUUUCGCUAACUCCUCCGAAGGCUUUCGUUCCACCGGCACCACAUUUGCUCAGGCCAAUCUACACCCCAUGGCCAUUAAAAGUUAUUCAAAUCAUGACGCUGCACCCCACGGUUUAGGUUCUAGGGGGCGCCAAAGAUAACCCUAAGAUCCACAUAUUUAAAAGUCUUAUAACUUUUUAUUUUUGCCCUCACUGGCCUCCAAGUUUUCUAGGAUGAUGCAAUGUCCAGCCAUCAACACAUUUGUGAAGGAAUUUUUACUCCCCAAAAGAGCGCCCCCCCAUGGCAGGAGAAAAAAGUCCAUUUUUUCUUGUCCCCUAAGGUGAAAAUACACAUUGUUGAGUGUAACACCUGUACGCUUUGGCAAAAUGACACAAAAAUUGACACACACAUGUAUCUCAAUAAGAUCUACAAAAAGUCAAUGCGCGCGUAUCUGUCAAAUGUACGGUUAAAGGGUUAUUCCGCAUUUUUUGCCGAUCCGCACACAUUGGAAUUUCGCUAACUCCUCCGAAGGCUUUCGUUCCACCGGCACCACAUUUGCUCAGGCCAAUCUACACCCCAUGGCCAUUAAAAGUUAUUCAAAUCAUGACGCUGCACCCCACGGUUUAGGUUCUAGGGGGCGCCAAAGAUAACUGUAAAAUCCACAUAUUUAAAAGUCUUAUAACUUUUUAUUUUUGUCCCCACUGGCCUCCAAGUUUUCUAGGAUGAUGCAAUGUCCAGCCAUCAACACAUUUGUGAAGGAAUUUUUACUCGCCAAAAGAGCGCCCCCCCAUGGCAGGAGAAAAAAGUCCAUUUUUUCUUGUCCACUAAGGUGAAAAUACACAUUGUUGAGUGCUACGCCUGUAUGUUUUGUCGUAUUGACACAAAAUUUUACAUACACGUGUAUUUCAAUAAGAUCUUCGAAAAAGUCAAUGGCCACGUAUCUGUAAAAUGUACGGUUAAAGGGUUAUUUCGCAUUUUUUGCAGAUUCGCACACAUUGGAAUUUCGCUAACUCCUCCGAAGGCUUUCGUUCCACCGGCACCACAUUUGCUCAGGCCAAUCUACACCCCAUGGCCAUUAAAAGUUAUUCAAAUCAUGACGCUGCACCCCACGGUUUAGGUUCUAGGGGGCGCCAAAGAUAACCCUAAAAUCCACAUAUUUAAAAGUCUUAUAACUUUUUAUUUUUGUCCUCACUGGCCUCCAUGUUUUCUAGGAUGAUGCAAUGUCCAGCCAUCAACACAUUUGUGAAGGAGUUUUUUCUCUUUAAAAGAGCGCCCCCCAUGGCAGGAGAAUAAAGUCAAGUUUUUCCUGUUCAUCAUUCAAUGGCUCAAACGCACUGCUCUCUCGGCAAAAGCGAAAGGAGGAGCAACUUGCCAUUUGGAUAUAUCUUAGCUGUGUUUGUGCCCUCACUCAUGGUCCAGACUUUUUUCAAAUAGGACAUGGAGUUUUUCUGCAGCGAGCGUUUUGGUAGAAACUGCGCCUCCCGUUCAUUAUAAUGGUAAAUGACCACAAACAAGUGCGCACACCAUCUUUGGACCUUGAGUGUGACGCGAUCGGGUGGGGGAGGCGGUCGCGCUGGGGGCAGUGUGACACGGCUCGGGCCCGCCAGUGCCCCAACGGGGCCCUAGUUUCUUCUUUUUCCUCCCCUUUGAACUGGAAAAUGGCCCACUUCCCACUGGCGAAAACUCAUGAAAUUUGGCAGGACGACCGGGCCUGGUGAAAAAUUCGAUAUUCUGAAGUCGCCCAAACAAUAAAAUGCAAAAUGGCUCCAUAGCGCCCCCUAAGGUGGAAAUUCACACUAUUGACUGUCACGCCUGUACGCUUUGUCAUAUUGACACAAAAAUUGACACACAUAUGUAUCUCAAUAAGAUCUACAAAAAAGUCAGUGCGGCCGUAUCUGUCAAAAUUACGGUUAAAGGGUUAUUUCGCAUUUUUUGCCGAUCCGCACACAUUGGAAUUUCGCUAACUCCUCCGAAGGCUUUCGUUCCACCGGCACCACAUUUGCUCAGGCCAAUCUACACCCUGUGGCCAUUAAAAGUUAUCAAAAUCAUGACGCUGCACCCCAAGGUUUAGGUUCUAGGGGGCGCCAAAGAUAACACUAAAAUCCACAUAUUUAAAAGUCUUAUAACUUUUUAUUUUUGUCCUCACUGGCCUCCAAGUUUUCUAGGAUGAUGCAAUGUCCAGCCAUCAACACAUUUGUGUAGGAAUUUUUACUCCCCAAAAGAGCGCCCCCCCAUGGCAGGAGAAAAAAGUCCAUUUUUUCUUGUCCCCUAAGGUGAAAAUACACAUUGUUGAGUGUCACGCCUAUACGCUUUGUCAAAAUGACACAAAAAUUGACACACACAUGUAACUCAAUAAGAUCUACAAAAAAGUCCAUGCGCGCGUAUCUGUCAAAUGUACAGUUAAAGGGUUAUUCCGCAUUUUUUGCAGAUACGCACACAUUGGAAUUUCGCUAACUCCUCCGAAGGCUUUCGUUCCACCGGCACCACAUUUGCUCAGGCCAAUCUACACCCCAUGGCCAUUAAAAGUUAUUCAAAUCAUGACGCUGCACCCCACGGUUUAGGUUCUAGGGGGCGCCAAAGAUAACCCUAAAAUCCACAUAUUUAAAAGUUUUAUAACUUUUUAUUUUUGUCCUCACUGGCCUCCAAGUUUUCUAGGAUGAUGCAAUGUCCAGCCAUCAACACAUUUGUGAAGGAAUUUUUACUCCCCAAAAGAGCGCCCCCCAUGGCAGGAGAAAAAAGUCCAUUUUUUCUUGUCCCCUAAGGUGAAAAUACAUAUUGUUGAGAUUCACGCCUAUACGCUUUGUCAUAUUGACACAAAAUUUGACAAUCACGUGCCUUGCCUGGUAUCAUUUUUUUCAGCACAACCUCACCUGUGCGAAUUUACAGUUAUUUUAUCAUGUUGACAUACUGAAUUUACACAAUGGACCCAAAUUCACACACAAAACAUAAAAUCCGAGUGGAAAAAAGUAACAUUUUUACUGUGAAAACCACAAAUAUGUGUGAUGAACUGUUUUUAAAACUUAAACUUCAAAUAAAAAUUGUAAACUUCAAAACAUAUGCAAAUUUUUAACAAAGAACAUAGUGAUUUACCUCUAUUUACAUCAAAAUGCAGGCAAUGGCCCAGGCGUUCUUUGUAAAAUUAUUUACAAAACACUGUAUAGUCUCACAAAUGUCACUUUUUAUUUAUGCCACUACAAAAAAACAUGAUGUAAAUGAUGCAUGAUGUAAAACAUGAUGUAAAAAACUUGUGUAGAUCCUCCUCUAUGUCAGUCCAUGUGUAAUUUUUCCAUAAUUCUUUGUUUUUUGCAGCAUUUUUGUUAGUGUAACUGCAGAUUGUGCUGACAGUGUCUAUGGCACAAAAAAAAAAAAAUUAAAAUGCCUCAACAUGAACCCCUGGUGGUCUCUGAGGGUGAAACCUGCUAACUGCUGCAGCUCUGUCAGCUUCAGUCUCCCAUGCAGAGCUCUGAGCGCAUGUGUGGCUCUGCACCCUUAGCAGCGUUGCUAACUCCUCAGUAAGGAAAGCCUGCUUCAUGUCAGAGUCUCUAAACUCCAGAAGAAGUCGAUAAAAGUCCCUUUCUUUCUAAAAAAAAAGUCGUUAGGGGGUCUGAAAAGUCAUUGAAUCUAACAACAAAGUCGCUAGGUUUGCAACUACGUGUCCCAGACUGCAUCCCUGCUGAGAGUCCCUCCCUCGCUUCUCAUGUUGCAGGAAGAACGUAAGCACCCGCCCCUUGUCAAUCAGUCACCAUAUAAUUUUGGAUUGGUUGUUGUGGUGAAGUUUUCCACCAAUAGGAGAGAUGUUGUGGUGUGUUUUUUUUUUCUUUUGGCAAGCCUUUUCCGCCUGUAAGACCUGUCGCUAAUGUCUGCAUGCUAUGUUUUCCUGUCUCAUACAGCGCGAUCGAGCGCCGAACGUGAUCAAAAUAAGCAGAAAAAAAGUAUCGCGGACAUAAUUUAUCAUAACUCUGGUUUUAUUUGGCCUAUCAACACAAUUUAAAAACUGGUAUAUAGGUUGAGGUCCUCACUUUUGAGAUAAGUUGAAACGGAGAGUCAACGAGGCUCCGUCUUGCAGCUACAUCCGGUUAAAUAUGUCAUGUGACUUGAACGCACACACACACACGCACACACACACACACACACACACACACUCAGAGUCUGGUUUUUAGCACCUGCAAAAACAUGCUAUUUACAUAUUUGACAAGAAUGCAGAGGCUCCUUUUGCCCCUGAAAAAAAUCAAAUUUCAAACACAACUUGACUGCUCAAUUCUCCAAAAGACAACCAUGAAGCUCCAUCCAAACCUGAAGCAGGCAGUUGGUGCAUGUGUACAGUAACCUGAGGGGAGUGAGGUGAGUGCUUCUGAGGAGAACAUGAGCAGUGAAGAUUCACCUUGGAGCUAGAACAGAGACAUGCACAUGAUUAUACAGGGGCAGGGGCUCAAGUUUUUUCCAGUCGUUUAUACAAUAUGGAAAUUAAUGUGAAAUUAAAACACAAAGUAUUAAUAGAAAGGUUAUGACUGUCCUGUGUAGGUGACAGUGAUAUCCAAUAGGCUAGGCACUCACGAGGCUGGCUGUGGCAAGUGUAAGUGAAAGCAACACGCACUGGCAAGAAGAACAGCAAACGCCGAUGAAGGAAAAGGGUCUUUGCAGUGAUGGGCGUUACCAGAGAGGGCGAUGGCCAGAGGACACAAAUGGGACGGGGAGGCAGCACGUUGGGGGGGGACGCGACACGGCUCGGGCCCGCCAGUGCCCCAAUGGGGUCCUAGUUAUUAUUUUUCCUCCCCUUUGAACUGGAAAAUGGCCCACUUCCCACUGGCGAAAACUCAUGAAAUUUGGCAGGACGACCGGGCCUGGUGAAAAAUUUGAUAUUCCGAAGUCGCCCAAACAAGAAAAUGCAAAAUGGCUCCAUAGCGCCCCCUAAGGUGAAAAAUUCACCUGACGCCUGUACGCUUUGUCAAAAUGACACAAAAAUUGACACACACAUGUAUCUCAAUAAGAUCUACAAAAAAGUCAGUGCGGGCGUAUCUGUCAAAUGUACGGUUAAAGGGUUAUUUCGCAUUUUUUGCCGAUCCGCACACAUUGGAAUUUCGCUAACUCCUCCGAAGGCUUUCGUUCCACCGGCACCACAUUUGCUCAGGCCAAUCUACACCCCAUGGCCAUUAAAAGUUAUUCAAAUCAUGACGCUGCACCCCACGGUUUAGGUUCUAGGGGGCGCCAAAGAUAACCCUAAGAUCCACAUAUUUAAAAGUCUUAUAACUUUUUAUUUUUGCCCUCACUGGCCUCCAAGUUUUCUUAGGAUGAUGCAAUGUCCAGCCAUCAACACAUUUGUGAAGGAAUUUUUACUCCCCAAAAGAGCGCCCCCCCAUGGCAGGAGAAAAAAGUCCAUUUUUUCUUGUCCCCUAAGGUGAAAAUACACAUUGUUGAGUGUAACACCUGUACGCUUUGGCAAAAUGACACAAAAAUUGACACACACAUGUAUCUCAAUAAGAUCUACGAAAAAGUCAAUGCGCGCGUAUCUGUCAAAUGUACGGUUAAAGGGUUAUUCCGCAUUUUUUGCCGAUCCGCACACAUUGGAAUUUCGCUAACUCCUCCGAAGGCUUUCAUUCCACCGGUACCACAUUUGCUCAGGCCAAUCUACACCCCAUGGCCAUUAAAAGUUAUUCAAAUCAUGACGCUGCAUCCCACGGUUUAGGUUCUAGGGGGCGCCAAAGAUAACCCUAAAAUCCACAUAUUUAAAAGUCUUAUAACUUUUUAUUUUUGUCCUCACUGGCCUCCAAGUUUUCUAGGAUGAUGCAAUGUCCAGCCAUCAACACAUUUGUGAAGGAAUUUUUACUCCCCAAAAGAGCGCCCCCCCAUGGCAGGAAAAAAAAGCCAAUUUUUUCUUGUCCCCUAAGGUGGAAAUUCACACUAUUGACUGUCACGCCUGUACGCUUUAUCAUAUUGACACAAAAAUUGACACACAUAUGUAUCUCAAUAAGAUCUACAAAAGAGUCGAUUCGCGCGUAUCUGUCAAAUGUACGGUUAAAGGGCUAUUUUGCAUUUUUUGCCGAUUCGCACACAUUGGAAUGUGGCUAACUCCUCCUAAGGCUUUCGUCCCACUGACACCAAAUUUGCUCAGGGCAAUCUACACCCCAUGGCCAUUCAAAGUUGUAAAAAUCAUGACGCUGCACCCCACGGUUUACGUUCUAGGGGGCGCCAAAGAUGACCCAAAAAUCCACAUUCUUCAAAGAAUCCACAUCCCCCCCCCCUUAUGGCAGGAGAAAAAGUUAAGUUUUUCCUGCCCAUCGCUCAAUGGCUCAAUCGCAUCGCUCUCCAGGCAACACCGUAAGGAGGAGCAACCUGCCAUUUCGAUAUAUCAUAGCUGUGUUUGUGCCCUCACUCAUGGUCCAGACUUUUUUCAAAUAGGACAUGAAGUUUGUCUGCAGCGAGUGUUUUGGUAGAAACUGCGCCUCCCAUUCAUUAUAAUAGGAAAUGACCACAGACAAGUGCGCACACCAUCUUUGGAUCUUGAGUGUGACGCGAUCGGGAGGGGGAGGCGGUCGCACUGGGGGCGGCGCGACACGGCUCGGGCCCGACAGUGCCCCAACGGGGUCCUAGUUCUUUCUUUCUUAGGGCCCGAGCGUAGCUGCUAAGCAGCUGCGAGAGCCCUAUUAUUCCUGAUGGAUUCUUCUUAGGGCCCGAGCGUAGCUGCUAAGCAGCUGCGAGAGCCCUCUUGUUCCUGUAGUUUCCUUCUUUUGUUAUUAGGGCCCGAGCGUAGCUGCUAAGCAGCUGCGAGAGCCCUCUUGUUCCUGUAGUUUCCUUCUUUUUAGGGCCCGAGCGUAGCUGCUAAGCAGCUGCGAGAGCCCUCUUGUUCCUGUAGUUUCCUUCUUUUGUUAUUAUUAUUAUUAUUAUUAUUUUUCCUCCCCUUUGAACUGGAAAAUGGCCCACUUCCCACUGGCGAAAACUCAUGAAAUUUGGCAGGACGACCGGGCCUGGUGAAAAAUUUGAUAUUCCGAAGUCGCCCAAACAAGAAAAUGCAAAAUGGCUCCAUAGCGCCCCCUAAGGUGAAAAUUCACACUAUUCACUGUCACGCCUGUACGCUUUGUCAAAAUGACACAAAAAUUGACACACACAUGUAUCUCAAUAAGAUCUACAAAAAAGUCAGUGCGGGCGUAUCUGUCAAAUGUACGGUUAAAGGGUUAUUUCGCAUUUUUUGCCGAUCCGCACACAUUGGAAUUUCGCUAACUCCUCCGAAGGCUUUCGUUCCACCGGCACCACAUUUGCUCAGGCCAAUCUACACCCCAUGGCCAUUAAAAGUUAUUCAAAUCAUGACGCUGCACCCCACGGUUUAGGUUCUAGGGGGCGCCAAAGAUAACCCUAAGAUCCACAUAUUUAAAAGUCUUAUAACUUUUUAUUUUUGCCCUCACUGGCCUCCAAGUUUUCUAGGAUGAUGCAAUGUCCAGCCAUCAACACAUUUGUGAAGGAAUUUUUACUCCCCAAAAGAGCGCCCCCCCAUGGCAGGAGAAAAAAGUCCAUUUUUUCUUGUCCCCUAAGGUGAAAAUACACAUUGUUGAGUGUAACACCUGUACGCUUUGGCAAAAUGACACAAAAAUUGACACACAUAUGUAUCUCAAUAAGAUCUACAAAAAAGUCAAUGCGCGCGUAUCUGUCAAAUGUACGGUUAAAGGGCUAUUUUGCAUUUUUUGCCGAUUCGCACACAUUGGAAUGUGGCUAACUCCUCCUAAGGCUUUCGUCCCACUGACACCAAAUUUGCUCAGGCCAAUCUACACCCCAUGGCCAUUCAAAGUUGUAAAAAUCAUGACGCUGCACCCCACGGUUUACGUUCUAGGGGGCGCCAAAGAUGACCCAAAUAUCCACAUUCUUAAAAGAAUCCACAUCCCCCCCAUCCCCCACCCCCCAUGGCAGGAGAAACAGUCAAGUUUUUCCUGCCCAUCACUCAAUGGCUCAAUCGCAUCGCUCUCCCGGCAACACCGUAACAAGGAGCAACUUGCCGUUUGGAUAAAUCCUAGCUGUGUUUGUGCCCUCACUCAUGGUCCAGACUUUUUUCAAAUAGGACAUGUAGUUUGUCUGCAGCGAGUGUUUUGGUAGAAACUGCGCCUCCCAUUCAUUAUAAUGGGAAAUGACCACAGACAAGUGCGCACACCAUCUUUGGACCUUGAGUGUGACGCGAUCGGGAGGGGGAGGCGGUCGCGCUAGGGGCGGCGCGACGCGGCUCGGGCCCGACAGUGCCCCACCGGGGCCCUAGUUUCUUCUUCUUCUUCUUAUUAUUUUUCUGCCCCUUUGAACUGGAAAAUGGCCCACUUCCCACUGGUGAAAAGUCAUGAAAUUUGGCAGGACGACCGGGCCUGGUGAAAAAUUCGAUAUUCUGAAGUCGCCCAAAAAAUCAAAUGCAAAAUGGCUCCAUAGCGCCCCCUAAGGUGAAAAAUUCACAUGAUUGAGUGUCACGCCUGUACGCUUUGUCAAAAUGACACAAAAUUUGACACACACGUGUAUCUCAAUAAGAUCUACAAAAAAGUCAGUGCGGGCGUAUCUGUCAAAUGUACGGUUAAAGGGCUAUUUCGCAUUUUUUGCCGAUCCGCACACAUUGGAAUUUCGCUAACUCCUCCGAAGGCUUUCGUUCCACCGGCACCAAAUUUGCUCAGGCCAAUCUACACCCCAUGGCCAUUAAAAGUUGUACAAAUCAUGACGCUGCAUCCCACGGUUUACGUUCUAGGGGGCGCCAAAGAUAACCCAGAAAUCCACAUUCUUAAAAGUCGUAUAACUUUUUAUUUUUGUCCUCACUGGCCUCCAAGUUUUCUAGGAUGAUGCAAUGUCCAGCCAUCAACACAUUUGUGAAGGAAUUUUUACUCCCCAAAAGAGCGCCCCCCCAUGGCAGGAGAAAAAAGUCAAUUUUUUCUUGUCUCCUAAGGCGAAAAUUCACACUAUUGACUGUCACGCCUUUACGCUUUGUCAUAUUGACACAAAAAUUGACACACACAUGUAUCUCAAUAAGAUCUACAAAAAAGUCAGUGCGGGCGUAUCUGUCAAAUGUACGGUGAAAGGGUUAUUUCGCAUUUUUUGCCGAUCCGCACACAUUGGAAUUUCGCUAACUCCUCCGAAGGCUUUCGUUCCAAAGGCACCACAUUUGCUGAGGCCAAUCUACACCCCAUGGCCAUUAAAAGUUGUACAAAUCAUGACGCUGCACCCCACGGUUUACGUUCUAGGGGGCGCCAAAGAGGACCCAAAUAUCCACAUUUUUAAAAGUCUUAUAACUUUUUAUUUUUGUCCUCACUGGCCUCCAAGUUUUCUAGGAUGAUGCAAUGUCCAGCCAUCAACACAUUUGUGAAGGAAUUUUUACUCCCCAAAAGAGCGCCCCCCCAUGGCAGGAGAAAAAAGUCCAUUUUUUCUUGUCUCCUAAGGCGAAAAUACACAUUGUUGACUGUCACGCCUUUACGCUUUGUCAAAAUGACACAAAAUUUGACACACACAUGUAUCUCAAUAAGAUCUACAAAAAAGUCAGUGCGGGCGUAUCUGUCAAAUGUACGGUUAAAGGGUUAUUUCGCAUUUUUUGCCGAUCCGCACACAUUGGAAUUUCGCUAACUCCUCCUAAAUCUUUUGUCCCAUCGGCUUCAAAUUUGCUCAGGUCAAUCUACACCCCAUGGCCAUUCAAAGUUGUACAAAUCAUGACGCUGCACCCCACAGUUUACGUUCUAGGGGGCGCCAAAGAGGACCCAAAUAUCCACAUUUUUAAAAGUCUUAUAACUUUUUAUUUUUGUCCUCACUGGCCUCCAAGUUUUCUAGGAUGAUGCAAUGUCCAGCCAUCAACACAUUUGUGAAGGAAUUUUUUCUCCCCAAAAGAGCGCCCCCCCAUGGCAGGAGAAAAAGUCAAGUUUUUCCUGCCCAUCGCUCAAUGGCUCAAACGCAUCGCUCUCUCUGCAAAACCGAAAGGAGGAGCAACUUGCCAUUUGGAUAUAUACUAGCUGUGUUUGUGCCCUCACUCAUGGUCCAGACUUUUUUCAAAUAGGACAUGUAGUUUGUCUGCAGCGAGCGUUUUGGUAGAAACUGCGCCUCCCAUUCAUUAUAAUGGGAAAUGACCACAGACAAGUGCGCACACCAUCUUUGGACCUUGAGUGUGAGGCUAUUUUGCAUUUUUUGCCGAUUCGCACACAUUGGAAUGUGGCUAACUCCUCCUAAGGCUUUCGUCCCACUGACACCAAAUUUGCUCAGGCCAAUCUACACCCCAUGGCCAUUCAAAGUUGUAAAAAUCAUGACGCUGCACCCCAUGGUUUACGUUCUAGGGGGCGCCAAAGAUGACCGAAAAAUCCACAUUCUUAAAGGAAUCCACAUCCCCCCCCCCCCCCCAAGGCAGGAGAAAAAGUCAAGUUAACCCUGCCCAUCGCUCAAUGGCUCAAUCGCAUCGCUCUCCAGGCAACACCGUAAGGAGGAGCAACCUGCCAUUUCGAUAUAUCAUAGCUGUGUUUGUGCCCUCACUCAUGGUCCAGACUUUUUUCAAAUAGGACAUGAAGUUUGUCUGCAGCGAGUGUUUUGGUAGAAACUGCGCCUCCCAUUCAUUAUAAUGGGAAAUGACCACAGACAAGUGCGCACACCAUCUUUGGACCUUGAGUGUGACGCGAUCGGGAGGGGGAGGCGGUCGCGCUGGGGGCGGCGCGACGCGGCUCGGGCCCGACAGUGCCCCACCGGGGCCCUAGUUCUUCUUCUUCUUUUUCUUAUUAUUUUUCUGCCCCUUUGAACUGGAAAAUGGCCCACUUCCCACUGGUGAAAAGUCAUGAAAUUUGGCAGGACGACCGGGCCUGGUGAAAAAUUCGAUAUUCUGAAGUCGCCCAAAAAUCAAAUGCAAAAUGGCUCCAUAGCGCCCCCUAAGGUGAAAAAUUCACAUGAUUGAGUGUCACGCCUGUACGCUUUGUCAAAAUGACACAAAAUUUGACACACACGUGUAUCUCAAUAAGAUCUACAAAAAAGUCAGUGCGGGCGUAUCUGUCAAAUGUACGGUUAAAGGGCUAUUUCGCAUUUUUUGCCGAUCCGCACACAUUGGAAUUUCGCUAACUCCUCCGAAGGCUUUCGUUCCACCGGCACCAAAUUUGCUCAGGCCAAUCUACACCCCAUGGCCAUUAAAAGUUGUACAAAUCAUGACGCUGCAUCCCACGGUUUACGUUCUAGGGGGCGCCAAAGAUAACCCAGAAAUCCACAUUCUUAAAAGUCGUAUAACUUUUUAUUUUUGUCCUCACUGGCCUCCAAGUUUUCUAGGAUGAUGCAAUGUCCAGCCAUCAACACAUUUGUGAAGGAAUUUUUACUCCCCAAAAGAGCGCCCCCCCAUGGCAGGAGAAAAAAGUCCAUUUUUUCUUGUCUCCUAAGGCGAAAAUUCACACUAUUGACUGUCACGCCUUUACGCUUUGUCAUAUUGACACAAAAAUUGACACACACAUGUAUCUCAAUAAGAUCUACAAAAAAGUCAGUGCGGGCGUAUCUGUCAAAUGUACGGUGAAAGGGCUAUUUCGCAUUUUUUGCCGAUCCGCACACAUUGGAAUUUCGCUAACUCCUCCGAAGGCUUUCGUUCCAAAGGCACCACAUUCUCUGAGGCCAAUCUACACCCCAUGGCCAUUAAAAGUUGUACAAAUCAUGACGCUGCACCCCACGGUUUACGUUCUAGGGGGCGCCAAAGAUAACCCAAAAAUCCACAGUCUUAAAAGUCUUAUAACUUUUUAUUUUUGUCCUCACUGGCCUCCAAGUUCUCUAGGAUGAUGCAAUGUCCAGCCAUCAACACAUUUGUGAAGGAAUUUUUACUCGCCAAAAGAGCGCCCCCCAUGGCAGGAGAAAAAAGUCCAUUUUUUCUUGUCUCCUAAGGCGAAAAUACACAUUGUUGACUGUCACGUCUUUACGCUUUGUCAAAAUGACACAAAAUUUGACACACACAUGUAUCUCAAUAAGAUCUACAAAAAAGUCAGUGCGGGCGUAUCUGUCAAAUGUACGGUUAAAGGGUUAUUUCGCAUUUUUUGCCGAUCCGCACACAUUGGAAUUUCGCUAACUCCUCCUAAAUCUUUUGUCCCAUCGGCUUCAAAUUUGCUCAGGUCAAUCUACACCCCAUGGCCAUUCAAAGUUGUACAAAUCAUGACGCUGCACCCCACAGUUUACGUUCUAGGGGGCGCCAAAGAGGACCCAAAUAUCCACAUUUUUAAAAGUCUUAUAACUUUUUAUUUUUGUCCUCACUGGCCUCCAAGUUUUCUAGGAUGAUGCAAUGUCCAGCCAUCAACACAUUUGUGAAGGAAUUUUUUCUCCCCAAAAGAGCGCCCCCCCAUGGCAGGAGAAAAAGUCAAGUUUUUCCUGCCCAUCGCUCAAUGGCUCAAACGCAUCGCUCUCUCUGCAAAACCGAAAGGAGGAGCAACUUGCCAUUUGGAUAUAUACUAGCUGUGUUUGUGCCCUCACUCAUGGUCCAGACUUUUUUCAAAUAGGACAUGUAGUUUGUCUGCAGCGAGCGUUUUGGUAGAAACUGCGCCUCCCAUUCAUUAUAAUGGGAAAUGACCACAGACAAGUGCGCACACCAUCUUUGGACCUUGAGUGUGACGCGAUCGGGAGGGGGAGGCGGUCGCGCUGGGGGCGGCGCGACGCGGCUCGGGCCCGACAGUGCCCCACCGGGGCCCUAGUGUUAUUAUUAUUAUUAUUAUUUUUCCUCCCCUUUGAACUGGAAAAUGGCCCACUUCCCACUGGCGAAAACUCAUGAAAUUUGGCAGGACGACCGGGCCUGGUGAAAAAUUUGAUAUUCCGAAGUCGCCCAAACAAGAAAAUGCAAAAUGGCUCCAUAGCGCCCCCUAAGGUGAAAAUUCACACUAUUCACUGUCACGCCGGUACGCUUUGUCAAAAUGACACAAAAAUUGACACACACAUGUAUCUCAAUAAGAUCUACAAAAAAGUCAGUGCGGGCGUAUCUGUCAAAUGUACGGUUAAAGGGUUAUUUCGCAUUUUUUGCCGAUCCGCACACAUUGGAAUUUCGCUAACUCCUCCGAAGGCUUUCGUUCCACCGGCACCACAUUUGCUCAGGCCAAUCUACACCCCAUGGCCAUUAAAAGUUAUUCAAAUCAUGACGCUGCACCCCACGGUUUAGGUUCUAGGGGGCGCCAAAGAUAACCCUAAGAUCCACAUAUUUAAAAGUCUUAUAACUUUUUAUUUUUGCCCUCACUGGCCUCCAAGUUUUCUAGGAUGAUGCAAUGUCCAGCCAUCAACACAUUUGUGAAGGAAUUUUUACUCCCCAAAAGAGCGCCCCCCCAUGGCAGGAGAAAAAAGUCCAUUUUUUCUUGUCCCCUAAGGUGAAAAUACACAUUGUUGAGUGUAACACCUGUACGCUUUGGCAAAAUGACACAAAAAUUGACACACACAUGUAUCUCAAUAAGAUCUACGAAAAAGUCAAUGCGCGCGUAUCUGUCAAAUGUACGGUUAAAGGGUUAUUCCGCAUUUUUUGCCGAUCCGCACACAUUGGAAUUUCGCUAACUCCUCCGAAGGCUUUCGUUCCACCGGCACCACAUUUGCUCAGGCCAAUCUACACCCCAUGGCCAUUAAAAGUUAUUCAAAUCAUGACGCUGCACCCCACGGUUUAGGUUCUAGGGGGCGCCAAAGAUAACUGUAAAAUCCACAUAUUUAAAAGUCUUAUAACUUUUUAUUUUUGUCCCCACUGGCCUCCAAGUUUUCUAGGAUGAUGCAAUGUCCAGCCAUCAACACAUUUGUGAAGGAAUUUUUACUCGCCAAAAGAGCGCCCCCCAUGGCAGGAGAAAAAAGUCCAUUUUUUCUUGUCCACUAAGGUGAAAAUACACAUUGUUGAGUGCUACGCCUGUAUGUUUUGUCGUAUUGACACAAAAUUUUACAUACACGUGUAUUUCAAUAAGAUCUUCGAAAAAGUCAAUGGCCACGUAUCUGUAAAAUGUACGGUUAAAGGGUUAUUUCGCAUUUUUUGCAGAUUCGCACACAUUGGAAUUUCGCUAACUCCUCCGAAGGCUUUCGUUCCACCGGCACCACAUUUGCUCAGGCCAAUCUACACCCCAUGGCCAUUAAAAGUUAUUCAAAUCAUGACGCUGCACCCCACGGUUUAGGUUCUAGGGGGCGCCAAAGAUAACCCUAAAAUCCACAUAUUUAAAAGUCUUAUAACUUUUUAUUUUUGUCCUCACUGGCCUCCAUGUUUUCUAGGAUGAUGCAAUGUCCAGCCAUCAACACAUUUGUGAAGGAGUUUUUUCUCUUUAAAAGAGCGCCCCCCAUGGCAGGAGAAUAAAGUCAAGUUUUUCCUGUUCAUCAUUCAAUGGCUCAAACGCACUGCUCUCUCGGCAAAAGCGAAAGGAGGAGCAACUUGCCAUUUGGAUAUAUCUUAGCUGUGUUUGUGCCCUCACUCAUGGUCCAGACUUUUUUCAAAUAGGACAUGGAGUUUUUCUGCAGCGAGCGUUUUGGUAGAAACUGCGCCUCCCGUUCAUUAUAAUGGUAAAUGACCACAAACAAGUGCGCACACCAUCUUUGGACCUUGAGUGUGACGCGAUCGGGUGGGGGAGGCGGUCGCGCUGGGGGCAGUGUGACACGGCUCGGGCCCGCCAGUGCCCCAACGGGGCCCUAGUUUCUUCUUUUUCCUCCCCUUUGAACUGGAAAAUGGCCCACUUCCCACUGGCGAAAACUCAUGAAAUUUGGCAGGACGACCGGGCCUGGUGAAAAAUUCGAUAUUCUGAAGUCGCCCAAACAAUAAAAUGCAAAAUGGCUCCAUAGCGCCCCCUAAGGUGGAAAUUCACACUAUUGACUGUCACGCCUGUACGCUUUGUCAUAUUGACACAAAAAUUGACACACAUAUGUAUCUCAAUAAGAUCUACAAAAAAGUCAGUGCGGCCGUAUCUGUCAAAAUUACGGUUAAAGGGUUAUUUCGCAUUUUUUGCCGAUCCGCACACAUUGGAAUUUCGCUAACUCCUCCGAAGGCUUUCGUUCCACCGGCACCACAUUUGCUCAGGCCAAUCUACACCCUGUGGCCAUUAAAAGUUAUCAAAAUCAUGACGCUGCACCCCAAGGUUUAGGUUCUAGGGGGCGCCAAAGAUAACACUAAAAUCCACAUAUUUAAAAGUCUUAUAACUUUUUAUUUUUGUCCUCACUGGCCUCCAAGUUUUCUAGGAUGAUGCAAUGUCCAGCCAUCAACACAUUUGUGUAGGAAUUUUUACUCCCCAAAAGAGCGCCCCCCCAUGGCAGGAGAAAAAAGUCCAUUUUUUCUUGUCCCCUAAGGUGAAAAUACACAUUGUUGAGUGUCACGCCUAUACGCUUUGUCAAAAUGACACAAAAAUUGACACACACAUGUAACUCAAUAAGAUCUACAAAAAAGUCCAUGCGCGCGUAUCUGUCAAAUGUACAGUUAAAGGGUUAUUCCGCAUUUUUUGCAGAUACGCACACAUUGGAAUUUCGCUAACUCCUCCGAAGGCUUUCGUUCCACCGGCACCACAUUUGCUCAGGCCAAUCUACACCCCAUGGCCAUUAAAAGUUAUUCAAAUCAUGACGCUGCACCCCACGGUUUAGGUUCUAGGGGGCGCCAAAGAUAACCCUAAAAUCCACAUAUUUAAAAGUUUUAUAACUUUUUAUUUUUGUCCUCACUGGCCUCCAAGUUUUCUAGGAUGAUGCAAUGUCCAGCCAUCAACACAUUUGUGAAGGAAUUUUUACUCCCCAAAAGAGCGCCCCCCCAUGGCAGGAGAAAAAAGUCCAUUUUUUCUUGUCCCCUAAGGUGAAAAUACAUAUUGUUGAGAUUCACGCCUAUACGCUUUGUCAUAUUGACACAAAAUUUGACAAUCACGUGCCUUGCCUGGUAUCAUUUUUUUCAGCACAACCUCACCUGUGCGAAUUUACAGUUAUUUUAUCAUGUUGACAUACUGAAUUUACACAAUGGACCCAAAUUCACACACAAAACAUAAAAUCCGAGUGGAAAAAAGUAACAUUUUUACUGUGAAAACCACAAAUAUGUGUGAUGAACUGUUUUUAAAACUUAAACUUCAAAUAAAAAUUGUAAACUUCAAAACAUAUGCAAAUUUUUAACAAAGAACAUAGUGAUUUACCUCUAUUUACAUCAAAAUGCAGGCAAUGGCCCAGGCGUUCUUUGUAAAAUUAUUUACAAAACACUGUAUAGUCUCACAAAUGUCACUUUUUAUUUAUGCCACUACAAAAAAACAUGAUGUAAAUGAUGCAUGAUGUAAAACAUGAUGUAAAAAACUUGUGUAGAUCCUCCUCUAUGUCAGUCCAUGUGUAAUUUUUCCAUAAUUCUUUGUUUUUUGCAGCAUUUUUGUUAGUGUAACUGCAGAUUGUGCUGACAGUGUCUAUGGCACAAAAAAAAAAAAUUAAAAUGCCUCAACAUGAACCCCUGGUGGUCUCUGAGGGUGAAACCUGCUAACUGCUGCAGCUCUGUCAGCUUCAGUCUCCCAUGCAGAGCUCUGAGCGCAUGUGUGGCUCUGCACCCUUAGCAGCGUUGCUAACUCCUCAGUAAGGAAAGCCUGCUUCAUGUCAGAGUCUCUAAACUCCAGAAGAAGUCGAUAAAAGUCCCUUUCUUUCUAAAAAAAAAGUCGUUAGGGGGUCUGAAAAGUCAUUGAAUCUAACAACAAAGUCGCUAGGUUUGCAACUACGUGUCCCAGACUGCAUCCCUGCUGAGAGUCCCUCCCUCGCUUCUCAUGUUGCAGGAAGAACGUAAGCACCCGCCCCUUGUCAAUCAGUCACCAUAUAAUUUUGGAUUGGUUGUUGUGGUGAAGUUUUCCACCAAUAGGAGAGAUGUUGUGGUGUGUUUUUUUUUUCUUUUGGCAAGCCUUUUCCGCCUGUAAGACCUGUCGCUAAUGUCUGCAUGCUAUGUUUUCCUGUCUCAUACAGCGCGAUCGAGCGCCGAACGUGAUCAAAAUAAGCAGAAAAAAAGUAUCGCGGACAUAAUUUAUCAUAACUCUGGUUUUAUUUGGCCUAUCAACACAAUUUAAAAACUGGUAUAUAGGUUGAGGUCCUCACUUUUGAGAUAAGUUGAAACGGAGAGUCAACGAGGCUCCGUCUUGCAGCUACAUCCGGUUAAAUAUGUCAUGUGACUUGAACGCACACACACACACGCACACACACACACACACACACACACACUCAGAGUCUGGUUUUUAGCACCUGCAAAAACAUGCUAUUUACAUAUUUGACAAGAAUGCAGAGGCUCCUUUUGCCCCUGAAAAAAAUCAAAUUUCAAACACAACUUGACUGCUCAAUUCUCCAAAAGACAACCAUGAAGCUCCAUCCAAACCUGAAGCAGGCAGUUGGUGCAUGUGUACAGUAACCUGAGGGGAGUGAGGUGAGUGCUUCUGAGGAGAACAUGAGCAGUGAAGAUUCACCUUGGAGCUAGAACAGAGACAUGCACAUGAUUAUACAGGGGCAGGGGCUCAAGUUUUUUCCAGUCGUUUAUACAAUAUGGAAAUUAAUGUGAAAUUAAAACACAAAGUAUUAAUAGAAAGGUUAUGACUGUCCUGUGUAGGUGACAGUGAUAUCCAAUAGGCUAGGCACUCACGAGGCUGGCUGUGGCAAGUGUAAGUGAAAGCAACACGCACUGGCAAGAAGAACAGCAAACGCCGAUGAAGGAAAAGGGUCUUUGCAGUGAUGGGCGUUACCAGAGAGGGCGAUGGCCAGAGGACACAAAUGGGACGGGGAGGCAGCACGUUGGGGGGGGGACGCGACACGGCUCGGGCCCGCCAGUGCCCCAACGGGGUCCUAGUUAGGGCCCGAGCGUAGCUGCUAAGCAGCUGCGAGAGCCCUAUUAUUCCCCAAGUGGUUUUUCUUUGUUUCUUUAGGGCCCGAGCGUAGCUGCUAAGCAGCUGCGAGAGCCCUCUUGUUCCUGUAGUUUCCUUCUUUAGGGCCCGAGCGUAGCUGCUAAGCAGCUGCGAGAGCCCUCUUGUUCCUGUAGUUUCCUUCUUUUGUUAUUAUUAUUAUUAUUUUUCCUCCCCUUUGAACUGGAAAAUGGCCCACUUCCCACUGGCGAAAACUCAUGAAAUUUGGCAGGACGACCGGGCCUGGUGAAAAAUUUGAUAUUCCGAAGUCG